AUGUGAGGAAAAGCACAAACAAGAAACCUUGAUAAUGACACCGUGUUUUUGGUACAGCAAGGACACUAUUUAAAAUUUUCACUGUUUUCUCAACUGAGAAUAAAGGACGUACCAGUUCUCUUCAGAGCCUCUAGCCCACUGGAGAACAGCAUUUUCUCAGCAGGAAAAACACAACUCUCUCAGCAGUGCCCUUGAAACACAGCAACUGGAUCCAGAGGAGGGAGCCUGCAUGUGCUGCCAAGCUUGCUCUUUUGAUGAUUUAGAAUCAUUUUUUAAGUAGUCUGCCACUUUCAAAAGUUCUAAAUGAGCUAAAUAAAAUCAAUAAAUAGACAGUAAAUUUAUAAUAUUAAUAUUAGGAGGGAAAAAAAAUAGAAAUUAAUCCCUUAAAUGUAUUUCCUUGAUCUGUCCUGCUACACAUUUCAGUGCAAGUAUAGGAAAUGACCGCAGUUUAACAAGCUAUUUUCCCUGUGUUUUCUGUAUCCCAUCUCCAGCUGGGGUAGAGUGGAUGGUUCACAGAUGGGUGGAUUAACAUCUACAAAGCAUCUGGCAGGGAAUGCAAGCCUGUGAGGUAUUCAGCUUCCCUGGAAGCUGAAGGCGUUCAGCAGUCAACCGAGAAGGCUUAAUUGUGCAACACUUUACUAUGGAAGUAAAUUUCUUCAUUGCCCAGUUGGUUACCAGUUUAAAAAUCAAAAUAUGAACACUCACAGCCUUGUCAAGUUUACAUCAGAAAACAGCUGUCAUGGUUUCUCAUAGAAAGGUUCACAUAGAUAUUUCUCCUUCUACUAUCUUGCGACAGCACAUUCCACUGAUCUAGUUGUGCGCUAUCUCUUGUGCUUUUAGAUAUCCUGCCUUCUUUGUUAGUGAAAGACUUGGAAUCCUGGAAAUGUUCAAGGAUGGGGCUUAGAGCACCCUGGUCUAGUGUAAGGUGUCCCUGCUCAUGGCAGGGGAUUGGAACAGGAUGGACUUAUGGUCCCUUCCAACCCUUCUAUGAGUCUAGAAGAUGAUUGUGUGUCUUACACUAGAAACAUGUGGGAUGAUCCCAUGAAUUUGACAAUGCUCCCCCUUUGAAGCAAGAAGGUCAGAAGGCUGAUAGACAGGUGGAGCUGCACCUUGAUGUGCAUGUCAAGUUUAUGCAGCUUUUUCCAUGCUCAACAAACCAGCCAGGACCGUUCCUGUCUUCCUUAUGGUUUUUGUCAUUGAUUCUGUGCCCCAGAGCUGUGCAAACAUAUUAUUGUGCAGAAUCAUAAUGCAGAAUCUCAGCACCAAUGCUUUGGGGUGGAAGAGACCUUAAAGACCAUCCAGUUCCACCCCCUGCCAUGGGUAGGCACAUGUUCCACCAGACCAGCUUGUCUUAGGGUUUGAUCCAAUAUGCCCUUGAACACUGCAAGAGAUAUUUAAUCAGUUUUGGCAAGCUAACAGAUAAUAGACAAUAUCAAAAGGCCACUCCCAGAGGACACAUCACGUUCUUCAACCUGGGAGAGCACUGCUGCUUUUCAGAUUAAAUAUUAAUUUCCCAAGAAAUCACUGGGUCACAUGUUCUUAACCUUUCUUAUCCUUUGUCUUCUCUCCUGCCUCUAUGAUACCUUAAACACAUGACUAACUUAAUGCCACAACUACUCCCUUGGAGGCAGAAAAAGGCACAAGACAGCAACAACAUGAGUUUUAGCACAGCUUGUGCCAAACUACAGCUUUCGUUUACAAAUCCGGGAGAUGGAAUACAUUUCCAUCCAGUGAGAUCAUUGUGUACCAUAUGAAUAAUAUUCUGGCUGAGGAUAUCAUGCAAAAUAAAAACUAACUGACAUUUUGAUAUAACACAAGCAAAUGCUUUGCUUUGGAAAAAAUGCGUGACCACCCAAGGAUAAAUUUCGCAUCAAAAUGGGGUUUAGUUGACUCAUUUAAAAAAGAGAUUUCUAAAUCUAUGGCAUAAAAACAUGAGAAUAACUCAGCCUUUACAAGCAGUCUGUAUAAAUUCUAGUGAUGCAAUUUUUUCACAAUGUGGUGGAAAACCCAGCUUUUAACCAGGAUCAAAGGGCACAUGAAAAUAUUUAGGCAUUUUCCACUAUACCUUCUUGUAGUUAUUCAGUGUAGUUUCUUUGUAUUAUCCAAGACUACUAGCAAGAAAUUUCCUGGAGAAGAAAGACGCCCCACCUUCCAUGUAAGCCUUUUUGAUUUCUUCCUCUGUUCACAGUUGGUACCACUGCUGGCAUUCCAAGGGUCAUGCAGAUUUUUGUGCACCAUAAAUGGCACUGGAAGGGUACCGAGGCCUGUUUUACUCUACAUCUGCUACCAAGCCCACAGGCAACCUGGCCUGCCUACUGAGUAACACCAGAAAUUCAAUUUUCACUUUUCAUUUACAGGUUAAAUCUUACACAGCUACAAAUUAAAUGAGACAGAUGUGAUCAGAGGGGGCUGUGAGGAGACGUGCUCACCUAGCUCUGACUCCUCGGCUUGGUUCAGGAUUUAAACCCAGGAAUUUAGAUUGUGUGGGCUCAGGUGAUGGUUUAUUACUGUGAGCUGUGAUGAAAGGCACUGGGAAAGGAGGAACAGGGUCUGAUCAACAGCAGCAAGGGAGUGUUAGGCAAAAAGUCUCUGGUGAGGCACAAAUAGUUGCUCUGCCUGUGGCAGGAUUUGUCCCAGGAUACCACUGCAGCAUGGAGAGAAAAAUGGACAGGCUUUGGUGAUUUUGCUGUGGCAAUGACACUGGCUGUGCUUGGCCCAGUUACAGCUCUUCUGGAGGGGAUAACCAGAGGGAGGGUGUUCUUUCCUCUAUCCAAACAGAAACAGCUUCACUUCCAUCUUAGAGCACUCAGCUUUCCAAAGGCAUUGGAGAAGUUUCCUAGCCAAAAUCUCCUGAAGAAGCCAUAGUGCAAUUAGACAAGAGAGGAUCCUCUAUUGGGUUGCUAAAAAAAAAUAGGAAACAAAUAUAGAGGAAAAAAUGAUAGGUUGUGCACAAGGGAGAAGAUUAUCGCAUCCCACAUGGAUCUCUCUUGUUCAGCAUAUUCCUAAAUCAUCUGGAAAAUGGUGCGAGUAAUGAGGUGAAAAUGUCAAAAUUCAACAUUUUAGAAAUGCAAUAAAGACCUUCAACAGAACUGAAUAAUUCCUCAAUGGAUUGUUCGUUCACAAACAGUUUUGUAUUUAAACUGUUCACUCCAGUAUUUGAAAUCUAUUUUUAACAUGGGAGAAUACUUCUUCCUCAUCUCCAUUUCUUCACAUCUACUAGGUUUGCUAAAGAAAUAGUCGAAUUUGGAUGGCAAUUACAAAAGCCACUUGCCAGUCUUCUCCACCUUCCUGAAGAACUAAAUUUUUAUCUUACCUUUUAUUCACAUUUUUUCCCUUUCACUGUCUCCAAAAUUGUUAAGAGCUCAUGCUGCAAAAUCUUGAUCCUUGUUCUCCAAGUAGAUCCAUGAGAGAAGCUCUCCUGGAGUGACUUUAUUACAGUUGUCAUCACUUUGUCUGGGUCUAACAAGCAGAUAUUCAAAAGGUGAACACAGUGAAAGAAUUGGAUGUGAACUCUUAAAAUUUGUCUUGCUUGUAGAGCCUUAUACAUAUUUGUUGACUCCUUUAUUUUAACCCACCAAAAUAAAAACACACGAUGACAGCCCCCAGUUGCCUCAAAGUGCCUCAAAUUAUCCAUGAGGGGAAAGUGAGAAUCAGAGAACCCCUAUGUGGUGCUUUCAGUGAGGAAUGCCGUGUAAAUAGUGCAGGGAGGGUAAGUGCAACAUGCUCCACUAUAAAAUGUGGAAAGUGCAGCAGCUGCUCUCAUUGCACAGACUGUCCCCUCAUUUCUAGUGACAGGGUGAUGAUCUAUGGGCAAGAAGCAUCACUGUUUCAGGGAUUCUUAUAUCCAUAUCUUUUAAGGUCAAGAAGGACUGUGGAAUUCAUCUGAUGUGACCUAGUAUGGUGCAGGGCAAUGAGUGGUGCCUCACAAUUUGUCUAUUAAAGAUUUCUCCUUCUCCUGUGAGUGAAUGAUGUCAUCCCAGGAACCAUGGCUGAACAGAAGGCUCUCUCUUGAAGUCCAAUCAUAAAUUAAGCACUCUGAAUCUAACUCUUACUUGCAGCUAAAAGGCAUUGAAUAUAGUGAUGGAGUCCAAUAAAUGCCUACAAAUCCUUCUGUGGCCAGGUUACAUUGGAAACUAAUAUUUACCGGAUAAUCCAUAGUAAUCCUUUGUUCCUUUAAGCUUCCAAUUUUUGGGAUAAGCCUUCCUUCUUCUCCCCUUUUAGUCCAGGGAAAAUUUUAAUCAGGCUUUUUUCCUUCUGACCCUGUACUUCACCACUGUCUGCUGCAAGACCUUGGCCAAGGGAUCUGUGUGGAGCUGUUUUAGAAACACAUCUGCAGCUCAUGUCUCACAAAGUCACCACAUGGAAACCUGAUCCUACUUCUUGGUGGGUGAAAGGAUUGGACAACUUGUCCUUAAAUCUUUCUUCCAUCACUUUGCUUUUCCUUCUACAAAGAGCAAAGAACACCUUGAGUAGAAAUCACAUCUGCAAUACACUUAAGACACUACAGUACACUGAAAAUCCCAACAGUGCUGUAAAACCAAGGGCUUAACCAUGCAAGGUUAUGGUUUUGUAAAAGAGAAAUUCAUCCCUCUGUGCUAGAAGCAAAACUUGUUCAUCAUAAACACAAUUUAUAAUCACUAUUUCUGCCUCCUACUAUGUUUUUCAUUUCUACAGGAUUCAGAUGAGAAGACACACAUACGAAUGUGGGAAACUAUCCGCUUAAACCUAUACAAAAGUUAAAUUUUAAACGAGAAAGGUCAAACAAGUUCAGAUUUAGCAAAAGUGGUGCUCAGUUAAUUUCCACACCCUCUACCCUUGCCACAGUACCUGGGCACAUUUACAUGUAUUCCUUCUGACAGAUUCCUGUGAGGCAGGAAAUUGGUUUUAUCUGUGGCAAAGCAGGCUAAAGGAUUUGUGCAUGGUCACACAAUGAAUCUAUAAGGAAAAAGGGAUUGGGGCAGAAGUUUUCUCAGUUGCAAAAAAGCAC